CCCAGCCAGGAAGGUCUCCUCCUCAGCCAGAGGCAGCCCGCCACUCCAGGUGCCAAGCAGGAGCUUCAUGGCAGUCGCACUGGCAGGGCAGGUUGAGUACACCAGCAGCUGUCCUAGGCCUUUAUCACAGCCAAUCCAACUCUGCAAACUACCUCGAGCUCCCAAUGCUGCCCCCUGGACACCGGCCACUCUAGAGACACAGCCUUCCUGUAUCCCAAGCAGCCAUCAGGCCCACACCCAGCUUUGGGGGCUAACCACCUGGUACUUGCUCCUACCACAGCUUCAGGCUCCUGUCCACCCUGCAGACCUGUCCCCUUCUUCUCUCCAGGCCCCAGCCUCUGUUGAUGUGGCCAGUGUUGUUAUAUAAGCAGUGUCCAGCCACAUCAAGGAUUCAUGGGGCUUUAUAGACUGACUCCAAAUCUCUCUCUUCUCUGUGACCAGCCAAGCCGACCCUCCACCUGACCCUGGAUCAUCAGGUUUUGUGGCCAAGAACGGGGCCCACCUAUCACAGUUAGAGCCCAUCUUGUCCCAUCUGUGGACAGGCCUGGUCUCGUCCCCACCUGUGCCCCUUAUGCCAUGCCUGGCUUGGUAACACCUCUGCAGCAUCCCCAGGAGCACUACAUGCUGAGACCGCAGGGCAGGAGCUCACUCCUGGGGGCCUGUCCUGCAUUCUGUCAGCUCACUCUUUGGGAACUGCUCCCUCGGAGGGUGCAUGGCAUGCCUCAUCCAUCUUUCUCACUGCCCAUCGGCUGGGACUGAAUACACUGGAUCUAGGCCUCCCCUCACCUGCCCUCAUUGCCGUGGGGGCAGGAAGGGUGCCUCCCUCCUGCUCUGCUUGCAUGUGGCCUCCCCCACCCCCACAGCCCCUACAGUCCUGCCAAGGUCAGUUGCAACAAGAAAUGCCUCCAACAGGACUGUAAGCAGCUACAGAGAUGAAUUAUAUGGGAGGACGUCCAGUGUCUGGUGCUGAUAAGGCCUGUAGGGCCUCUGCCUGGAGGGAACCACCAUCAGGAAGGGCUCGUUUCAAGAGAGCAUCCUCUGUCCUGAGAAGAGAGCGACCCGACCGCUUGGCUUCCCAGAGCACAAAGGUGCAUUCCAUUGACUUCAUUGCAUCAACUUCUACUGACUUGAUUGCCCUUGAAGGGUGAGAGAAUCAAUCUUCAGUGCAUAUGGGGGGCCUAAAGCAGCAAGAUCCACACAGACCAGAGCGACCCACUCUGGACCAGACCUUUGUGGCACAGAACUGACUGCCAGGAUCCCGUGUCUCCUGCCUCAGGCACCCUGCAUGGGACACCGCAAAGCUUUCUAAAACAAACACAGUCUGGGGAUGCAGAGGUUUUAUCUCCAGCUCCCAUGCUGGUCAAUGAACAGGACCAGGUGCUGCUCUGGACACAGGAGAGAGAUCUGUCUCCAAUGAUUUCAUGUCCAGCUCCUGCCCGACUCUGCCACCUCCCCACUUCCCUCUGUUGCCCUACCCCCUGCUCCAGGUGUUCUAAACACCUGACACAGGGACAUAAUUGAUCUCAGAGCACGGUCCACUGCUCCACUCCCUGGCCAAGUCCUGCGCUGCCCGCCCCCUGCCAGUCAUCACUCCAAGAGUUUCCUGGCACCCCCCACUCUCUCUGACACCUUCUCCUCCAGCCCCCAGCUCAGACCUCAGUCCUCAGCCCUGACUCCACACCUGCUUUCUUUGCUUUGCACGUCUGCACUUCUGGAGGCCAGGGUCAGGUCUGUCCCCUCAGCAGCUGCAACACCAAGACUACUGAGACAAAUGUAUGCAGGAAGGUGGGGAGAGAGGGAGGGAGUGUGGGGCCCACAGAUGUGGGCUAGAGGGUAAGGUGGUGCAAAAGGAAAAGAGCUGAAACCAUUGAGAAGAACUGGAGGUAAGCAGGCAAAUAUUGACCAAAUCUCCCAUGGGAAAGAACUUUCUAAGAACAAAGGCAAAGAUAAGUACACUUUGUGUGAAAGCUAAAUUCUCAGGUGGCUCAGAAGAAACCAUACAGUUAAAAGGCAAGCAAUGAAUCGGGCAAAUUUUUGACACUAACAUGACAAAAAAUUAAUAAAAUUAACAUAGCAUGAGCCUAUCCAAAGCCAAAACACCAAGGAAUUCAGCAAAUUGCAGAUGAGGCAGCACCUUAAAGAUGAACCCCAUUGAAUGCCCCAGCCCCUCCAGCCAGGUAUCACAGAAGCCCCUUGUCCACCGAAGGCAGCUUUAGCAGGCCAGCUUUUUGGCGUCCUGAGUCAUGAGAUGUUGAAACAUUAGCUGAGGAAGCCCCUUUCCUGGAAUCUGUGCUGAUGGAGUCUGACUCAGAGGGGCAGAUCCAGCUGUGUGGACUUGGUAUGGCCACAGCAUUUACUUGUCACUGCAGAAAAGGUAGAAACAGCUAGAAUACCCAAAAAUGCAAAGUGAAAAUGAAGACCAGACACAGAGUCAAAUAUGAACUUAUGAGAAAGUGUGUGCACACAGCAAAACUGGGAGAACAUAAAUAAACCACCAUUAACCACA